CAGUCGCCGCGGGAAUACGAAGGGGGCUAGCGUUGCUCGGAAUGACUGGGCGUAAAGGGCGCGUAGGCGGCGGCCAAAGUCAGGCGUGAAAUUCUCGGGCUCAACCUGGGGGCUGCGUUUGAUACUUGGUUGCUUGAGUGGGGAAGAGGGUCGUGGAAUUCCCAGUGUAGAGGUGAAAUUCGUAGAUAUUGGGAAGAACACCGGUGGCGAAGGCGGCGACCUGGUCCUUUACUGACGCUGAGGCGCGAAAGCGUGGGGAGCAAACAGGAUUAGAUACCCGCGUAGUCCCUGUCUCUUAUAC
rnacentral:rRNA from 1 species